rnacentral:rRNA from 1 species
UCCAGACUCCUACGGGAGGCAGCAGUGAGGAAUAUUGGUCAAUGGGCGCGAGCCUGAACCGGCCAAGUAGCGUGAAGGAUGACUGACCUACGGGUUGUAAACUUCUUUUAUAAAGGAAUAAAGUGAGGCACGUGUGCCUUUUUGUAUGUAUUUUAUGAAUAAGGAUCGGCUAACUCCGUGCCAGCAGCCGCGGUAAUACGGAGGAUCCGAGCGUUAUCCGGAUUUAUUGGGUUUAAAGGGAGCGUAGAUGGGUUGUUAAGUCAGUUGUGAAAGUUUGCGGCUCAACCGUAAAAUUGCAAUUGAUACUGGCAGCCUUGAGUACAGUUGAGGUAGGCGGAAUUCGUGGUGUAGCGGUGAAAUGCUUAGAUAUCACGCAGAACUCCGAUUGCGAAGGCAGCUUACUAAACUAUAACUGACACUGAAGCACGAAAGCGUGGGGAUCAAACAGGAUUAGAUACCCUUGUAU